CGCUUCCCAAACAGCUUAAUUUAUUUGACACCAGAUCUCGCGGGAUCACGGAGCCAGAUCUCACGGGAUUACAGAGCCAGAUCUCGCGGCUCUGGGAAGUCGUUCUGGGUCUGAGUAGAGGGUUAAGUGGAAUAGGAGACAAAGGGCUUGAUGGUUAUCAGGCAGGCCUCUAGUCGAAUAAAGAAAAUAGGUUCAUAGACGCUCUGAAGUGAACUAUUCGCGAUAUCUCCUUACCGACGGAUCCGUGCACAGAAAAGCUGCCCAGGAAGAUGACAUGAUCCUGGGUGUGAUGAUGUAUGUGGCAGUGAAUAUCGUGAGAAGAAUCUGUACUCUCAACCCUAGUUCAACAGAGUUCAGCAAGUUCUUGUGUUCACUCUAACACAAUAUACACUGUGAAACUGCUUUAUUUCAAAUUAGAUGUGACAGAAUAAUAGGAGUAGAAAUGACUCAACUGGCCUUUGUGACAUGGUUGGUUACUGGAAAAGGGACAAAGUCUGUCUAUUCCAUUGCAUCAUUCUUCUGGAACUUUGAUAAUAGCCAAUUCUACUGCCUUAACAGCAUCAUUGCUUGCAGUUGGCAAGGACCAGAGAGAGAAAACAAGGUCACGCUGCUAGUAAGGUGUGGUUUCAGGAUUCAACUUCAGUAAAUCUAACUCCAAAACUGUGCCCUUUUCUGCUUUUUUGUAUAUUUUGCUACUGCUAUUUCAAACAUUGGCCUUCAAGUCUUAAAAGACCACCAGGAAAAUCCGUAACCAGGCAAUGGACUAUUUCAUAUAAUAGAGUUUCUUGCUCAUGUGUUUAAGGAAUGGCUUGGUCAGCUCUGAUAAAAGACUGCCACUGAGUUCAGGUAAUUUCACCUGUACCAAUUUUGGACUUUGGUUGAGGACAGCAGAUACAGGGAACAUUUACUUUUCAUGGAGGAAAUGGAAGUUCCUAGAGAGACUUUCAGCUGAAGGACACAUUGAGGGAAGCAACUGCAGACCAAAUUUCUCCUCUCGAAUGAUGAUUCUUUUAGCAUGAGGAAAGGGCCUCUAUUUCCAAGGACUGAUGAUCAUGAAAAAGAGAAUUUAUUCUUUAAGGUCUUUUGUUUUGUUUUGUUUUGUUUUGUUUUGUUUGCUAGACACUGUGCUUGAAAAGCUGCCAUAUAGAGAAUACACUACUCCCUUGACUUUUAUCUGUGUUUGCAGUUUUUCUGGAUGACUUCCCAAUCUAUAAUUUUCCUCCAUUAUUUUGACCCUGAUAUUUUUUUUAUUUUAUGAUAUGUGGGCACCAGGUUGAUUUUUUAAAAAGCAUAAGAUGAGAGGUUAUUCACUUGGCUGCCUCAGGAAGCAGAUCAUGGUCAAUAGGUAAAGUGGCUCCUGACUGUAUACUACAUCAAAUGGUUUCUAUAACACUUAUCAUAUCACAUUAUAGUUAGCUUUUUUUUUUUAAGUGACUGCUGGCCGAACUCAGAACUCAUUCAAAGGCUGCAAUAACUAUCAGAACACUUUUCACCAAGCCUUGUAUUAAACAUUUCAUAAGCAAUAUUUCUGUUAAUUCUCAAGAUAAUAUUUGAGGUAAAUACUAUUAUUACCUCUAUUUUAAAGACGAGAAAACUGCUGAUGAAAGGUGUUAAGUACAUGGGCCAAAGUCCCACAGCAAGGUGAAAAUAAAUGAAAGUAAAAGUCUCAGUAGGUCUUUUAGGAGUAUAAAAAGCAUAUUGGUAGAGUCUCUCCCCUUUGUAUUCAUCAUUUUCUUGCAGACUUGACUCAAUAUUGAUAUUGUUCAAGACCAGUUGCCUGAGUAACACUUUCUUAUGGUGAUUCGUUUUUAUCCUAUGCUUUCCUGAGCACCGACAUUCUGAUGGUGACAGUAAGUAAUCAUGGAUAGAGAGGAGCCCACAGAUAGUGACACAGAUAAAACUCAAAUCUCUCCUGUCCUUCCAUAACUCCCAAUUUCCAUUUUUAAAAAUUUUUAAAUGAUUUAAUAUCAUCCCGUGAGGUAUUUUUCAAAAUUCCAAAGUAAUAAAGUAGCUUCAUAUGUAAUUAAUUACCUCUAAAUACUCAAAAGCAAGAGCUAAUUGAAAAAAAUCUGCUCUGUGAAAUGAAUUUUCCUCUACUUUUAAACUUACAAUACCUUAAUAUUCUUGAAUAAAAUGAACUUCUUUGUUAAAGAUAUUGUAUAGGAAAGUAGGGAAAACAUAAACCUUUCCAUCUUAGAACAUUUGUACAAGUAAAAUAUAAUCACUUUUAUUAAACUAGACAGACUAACAAAAAAGCAAGUUUAAAAGAACUGUCCUGAAAUCUCAGUACCAUGCAUCUCUUAUCUUACCACAUUUUCUUUUGUAAAGACAUGACAGGAAGGGCAAAAACAAAAUAAUUCCAGACAUAUUCUGGUUGAGUUGUGUGGGGCGGGAGAGAUACAAUUCAUUCAACCACUCAGUAGAUCCACCCUCUUUUAAUGAAUGCUAUAAUGUUCUCUAAUGCUAGACGUUUUAUAGCUUCAAAUGCCUUUAACUUUAAGUUCUUAUUUAUAUUCAAGAUGUGAAUUUCCUGGCAGUUCCUAACACUUUUUCAUAAAAAACUUAUGAUUUUGUCAGAUGACAUACUCUGCUAAAUGGAAAUAUUUCAGAGUACAUAAAGGGCCUACUAAUACCAUAGACCAGGGGUUGACAGUUUUUUUCUGUACAGAGCCUGAUAGUAUAUAGUUUAGACCUCGUGGGUCAGACCUUCAAAAGUCCUUGCUUUGCAGGGUAGAUGGAGAAGGUCCAGAAAAAGAUGACUAUGGCAAGCUGAAACCAUGCAAAGCAAUCUCAAUAAUUAAUGGAUAAAAUUAUGAUUGUUCCAUAGUUUUAAAACUUUUGUCAAAAUAUUAAAUGGUCACAGCCAAUUGUGAGCAUACAGGAAAACUUAAAAAAUAGUAAAACUAAUAUUUAUAUAGUAUACUGUGACUUCAAACAUUGAAAAUGUGGAGAAUUAAAAAAAAUUAGACUUAUUAUUCUGGUUGUGAUAGUGUAUUAUAAUUUUGGAAGAUGUUUACCAUUGGAUAAAGGGCCCAUGGGAGUUGUCUGGUUGUUUCUUAGCACUGCAUGUGAAUUUACAAUUAAAAGAAAAGAUUGAUUAAAGAAGUAGUUUGAACAAUACUUGCUUUCUUCUUAUUGUAUAGCUGAAUAGAUGGAGUGGGCAUCUUUUCUGUGCACUGGUGAAUUGUCAUGCUUCUUUCUAAGGUUGCAUCAGCUUCCAAUGUUUUAUCCUUUGCUCUUUCAAUUUCAAUAAAAUAUAUCCAAAUUUUCCUUUAUUGUGAAGAUUUUGCAGUGUCACUUCCUCUGAGACAUCUUCACCUUUUGCAUCACAACCACUUUAUUACACUUACUAUGUUGAUAAAUUCUCCUUCAUCAAAUUCCUCCAGCUGUAUAUCCAGUGUCUCUCUAAUGAUAGUAGUGUUAACAUUCUGAUGGUCAGCUAUAGCUUCUCUAGCUCCAUUUAUGUUAGACUCAAAUUUCACCUCAAUCAUUAUUACUUUCUAUUUCUUCAAAACACUUUUUGAAGUGUUCAAAAGUGGCUAAGUCUCCUUUUGGCUAAGUCUCUUUCUUGAUUAUUCAUUAAAAAAAAAUACCACUUGGGUUUAUCACUAUGAAAGUAGGAGGUAACACAACAACAUGCUUUUCCGUCUGUGUGUGAACUGAACAGUUGAUGCUCAAGGAUCAUUUGAUGAUUGGGGACUGAAGAGCUAGCAGCAAAGUUUGUGCUUAAUGGAAGUACAGUUAAUAUAACAUGGUGACUGAAACUUGAACCAUGUUCUUGGGAGACUAGUGUUAUCUAAAUAAACUGUGAUAACUAAAAUUGUAAACAUCAGAACCAUGCAAAGCAAAGACUGCCUGUGCUCUAACCUGACACUGCAGUAUGAAAGCAGCUGUAAUCAAUAUGUAAAUAUGUAGUCACUGCUGUGUUCUAACAAAACUUUAUUAACAAAAACAGAACCUGGCCAGAUUUGUUCCGAAGGUCAAAAUUUGAGUCUGCUGUGUUAAGUGACCAAAGUAGCAAGUCUUCUUGCACGGUAGUUUAUAACAUAGCUUGGACCUGCUACAUGCAAGGGUCCUUUCUUGCAUUGCCUCUUGUCCAAAGCUGGCAUCUGGGUCAGCAGCUUAAAUGAGUAAGAGCAGUAUUCCCAAGUGUGGAAUAUGCUGUCUCCGUAACCUCAAGAUGCCAAAUAAGGGCUGUGCUUCCUUCUUAGUGACGGGAGAUCCUAUUUGCAAUAAUUUUACCUUUGUUAUAUAUGGCAUAUUUUGGCAUAUUCCAGUUCACUGGACCCAUAAACACCUCACUAAUAUGGGUAGCUCCUAAGUCUUUAUAGGUUUGAAACUCCUAUUUCUUGACUACAUAGAUUUUUUUUUUUACCAAGGUUGCCAGAAUACUACUUCUUACCCAUCAUGUCCAAGUAACAUAAUGACAACUGUAUUACUAUAUUCUGCUGAAUAUCCAUAGGAUCCUAGUCUGUUUGAACUACAGUAUGAUAGAGAGAAGGAGACUUAACAUAAAUAUCAUAAUACAUACUCUUUUCAUUCCACAUGAUUGUUAACUACCUCUGAUUCACCUUCCUAAUAAAGAUGAAAAAAUAUUUUCUUCAGAUAAUGACUAUAUAUCAUGUACCUAUAGUUAUGCUAAUGUGCUUUAACUACUCCUACCAGGAAAACAGCAAUUGGGGCUAGUCUUUGGUUGAAUUUUUGAUAGUCUAUUAUUAAACUUCACAAUCUGUCUCACUUUUGUGAUUAAAUGAGAUAAAAUGAGAACAUGAUAAAGAUGAUCACUCCUGCAUCCUUUGAGACUACAAGGGUGACACUAAUCUCUGCCAUUCCUAGGAUAUAACUUUAGGUUUUAAUUUACUACCUUGACCAAGUUGUUGAAGGGAGUGUUCCAGGAACUUGCUUUGGCCUUUCCCAUUGUAACUCUUCAUAGGAAUCGAUGGAAGGGCAUGGCAAUUUGAAUCCAUUGCUUCAAAAGUCUUUCAAAUUCCUCCUAUUCUGUCUUUUUAAAAUCUUGGUAGUUUGUGGCCAAUUUGAUCACCAAAUGCAGUGGAAGUAAUAAUAUAUGCCUUUCAGGGCUAUGUCGGGAAAGGUCAUGCACUGUCUACCUAAUACCCAUGAAAUCUUUGCCUUGGGAAAAAACAGCUAUCAUGUAAGAACUCCAAAUACUAUAGAGACUCAGCAUGCACUACUGUAGAUGAUGUCCUCAUCUGAGCUCUUAACCAACAAUCAAAGAAUCAACUGGUAUAUAGGUGACCAAGUUAUCUUGGAUAUAUAAUCCAGUUGAGUCUUCAGAUGACUGCAACCUCAGCCAACAACUGACAACAGAAGCAUCAGAAGUCCUAAGUAAGAACUGCUCAACUGAGUUCUUCCUGAAUUCCUUAUCCACAAAAAAUGAGAAAAAAUAAAACGUUUAUUUUAAGCCAUUAAACUUUGGGAUAAUUUGUGGUAUACAAUAGUAACCAGAACAAAGCGUUACACAAACUAACAAGUAAGGUGUUCAUGUUGAUUAUAUGUUUGAAGACUUGGAAAUGUACUAACUUUGUGGAACAAGUGAAACCAGAGUGAAAAGAACCUGGGCCAGAUUUAUUUAUUAUCUACUUAUUAUCCAUUUAUUAUAUUUCUGCUGUAUAUUCCCAGGGUAUGAUUAUUGAGUUAAUAUUCACAUUCUUUGGGGGAAGAACUGACAGAAUCAUUACAUAUUUCCCAUGAUGUUAUAGGGUCUGGAGACCCAACUUCCCAUUCACUCUGAGUUCUUGGUUUAUAAACUGACUUGAGUAUUGAAACUGGGCUAGGUCUCAUGACUUUUAUGGGGGCUGCUUCUCUUGACUGCCUUAUCAACCAGUAUGGAUAAUGUUUGUUUUAUUUUAUAAAUCAAGCAAUGUCAUUGUUGGCUGGCAUAUAGCUUUUUCCCAGAAGCAUUGUGUUCUACUAACAGUUACCAUAGUGAUGGUUGACAUUGACAUAGAUUUCAAUAAUUUCACUCAUCUUUCUCCUGACAAUUAAACCUUACCACCUGGUCUCUAUUAAUUUGGCAUUCUAUCACCUUUCUUUCAAUCAGAUAACAUCAUCUUUUAAAAUAAUUCCUAGCCUACAGGAGAUAGUCAUCACAGAUAUUUACAAUACUGGUGUACCCCUCGCUAAUACUUUUCUUCCCACUUUGUACUCAGGGUUCUCGUAAUGUUUCACAGAUUUAUGUAUUAUAUGCACUCUAACAGCAUAUGUUCUUGAACACUUUAUCUUUUCUCCACUGUUUACCAGGGUAUCUCUUUGUUUCUCUUUAUUUAGUGAGGACAAUCACUUUUUCCAACUUUGCACAACCUACCUAGUAGUGAUUAGCACCAUUUCCCAGGGUCCUUGUCAAAAUGUUAAAUUUUACGUGACAGGAACAUGUUCCCAUAUGAGGAAACUCUCCCUUAUGUAACUGUAUAGUUUGUUACCCUAAUCCCAUAUAUCCCAAGCUCAGAUUUUUCUGCUGUCUAGCAUCAGAAAAUAAGAAUAUUUUUAUAUAUUUCCAAGGAGGUAUUGUGACUUUCAUAUAUUGCCUUAAAACAGUGAUCAGAGUCUUUCUUUGUCUUUUUCUGAUGCAUUGUUAGUACCCUGCAAGAGUCAUCUAAUAUCAUACAUUAUAAUGACUACUUCUCUUUCACUUCUUAAAUGUUUGAGAUAUUGUAUUCUCCAGUGCAUUUAUUUUCACUCAUUCACUACUGGUUAAAAUUUAAUAAUUGCAUUGCUCUAGCAUACCAAGGCUUCUCAGUACUCCCUGUACUAUCAAAAAAUAGGAUUCACAAUUGCAGCCAGCCAGUGGGUCAUCUAGCUCUAAUAUCCCAUUUUAUAGUUAACUCUUUAGAAUCACUCUUGAUACCAAUUGGCUUAAGUCACAGUCUUCAGAAACAGUAUCUAAGAUAGGAAUUUGCAUGCAAAAGCUGUACUGGGGAAGAAAUACUGGAACAACAGGUGUAAGAAAGUGAAGGUAGCAGGACUGAACAGAGAAAAGAAGUUGAACUGUAAUGCAGAUCCUACAGAAGGCUCAGGCAGUACCAUAGGCAUCUUUGGAUCACUCCAAGUCAAAGUAACAGCCAAGACUUCAGAGAUGUGCAAGUACCAGUCACUGAAUGUAAGCUGACACCAGCAAUGACCAUAACCUUGGGAGAGGCAGCUUUCUUAGGCUGAAGGCAGUUUCUAAAAUGAAUCAAUCAUAGGCCAUCUGUAGCCAAUAGUCAUGACUAUUGGAGGAAUGAAUGUCUCCAUCCUGAGGAUCUGUGCGAUAUACAGCAAGAUGCACUACAAUUGCCAAGUAUGUAAAUAAGGUCAUUCAAUGGUUAUACACAUAUUCUUUGCAGAAUCUGUUUUCAGCAAGGAACUCAAAGUUGCAAAUGACUGUGUCAAACAACCCUUCACCAGAAGAGAUCUUAUGGUGAUGGUGGCAGGGUGAAAAUAUGUAGCAAUUAGAGUACAGAUAGCAUGUUUAACUAAAUUAGAGGACAGUGACUGCAGGAAUAGUAAGUAAAAAAAAAACAACUAAGAGUUUGAAGUUUGUGAUACAAAACAAAACUUCGUAGUUAAAGGAUGUUAUUAUGAACAAAUGCAAAUAUAAAACCCAAAAGUUGUGUUCAAAAAGGGGUAGACCUGGAAAAAAGGGAAGUUAUCUUUAAGUGGUAAUGAGUCUCCUAUGUGGCAGCAUAAAAGACUAUGGAAACCAGAAAAGAAAUAAUAGACUUGAGCAUUUCAGACAGAAAAGGUAGCCCAACAAAACUUUUAUAGAAAUGCAACCCUUAGACUCCCUCCCCAAUUAGAGGUCUCAUCAUAUAUUUUGUGAAAGAGAAAUCAUAAACAGACCUCACUGAAGGGUAUAUCCAAAGAGAAAUGGUUACAGUCCUCUUCCCCUUGUAGAGUUUGGACAAAUAUAAUUAUCAGCAUAUAGUUCAUAUUAAACAAUCUGCAAGUUAAUAAAUGGCUAUAGAAUACUUGUGUUUAGCAAUCCUGCUAAGCCAACUCUGCCUGGUUGUGGCAACCAGUAUUCUAUGGUCUCAACAGACAAAAUUAGUAGCCUCUACGUAUAGCAGUAGUUUUAUAAGUAAGUCUUAGACUUACUUCUGCCUAGAUUGACUGCCUGUAAAAACCAUUGCCCCAGUCACAAGAAUUUUGAUAGAAUUUAACUGUUAACAAGACUAAAAACUCAAUUUGGAAUGAAAUUUUUAAAAAUAAAAUUAAAAAUAAACUACAUUGAGAGAAUCAGAAAUACUUUAGUAAUAUAAAGUUUAUAAAACAUUUUAAUUGGCAAGAAAUGGGAGAGAGAAAACAUUAGAGUCUUUCUGCUUCUCUAGAUUCUAAGCAGUGUGGGGGCAAGAGAUGACUGUAUUAUGUUCACUUGUGUAGUUGCACUGAUUAGCAGGCUUGAUACUCAUUGAUAAAUGAGACGAAAACAUGCCUCAGCAAUAUUUUAAUGUAAUUGUCUAUGGACCUCUAAAGCCUUGUACUUCAUGUUUUUUUGUUUGUUAUUUUUUUCUUGAAACUUGUUCUGCUUUGACAUUUGGAUUUAGGUUUAUCAUAUCCUUCUCUUUCCCCGUUUGUGACCUAUCUUAUCCAGAUCUGGCCAUUUAAUGUCAUUUCCUACCUCCUAAUGCCUGAUACAAGUUUUUCUCCAGUGUUCUCCUUCUGUCCUAAAUUCAAUUAAAGCUUUUCACCAUACAAUGUUGACCUUCAAAUCCAUGCAGUAGAGCCCUUUUUCUUCUUACUGACUAAAGUCAGAAGGAAGACAUUUCCAUCCUGUCAGCUCUUUGCUAUCCUUCAUGGAUUUCCUUUGCUUAUAACUUUGGCUGUUUAAAUUUAAAGUCACACUUUAAACUCUGAAAUUCAAAAAGUGUAAGUGAAUCACCAGAGUCAUUUAACUAGUAAGAGGACAGUUUGUUAAGAAAGAUCAACUUUUGAUGAUAUAACAAGUAACAAUGAUGAUAUAUCACGUAACAAUUUUAUUUAUUCAAAUAUUACCAUGUAGUGAGUCUGUUAAUAUCUUGGAAUUUUCAAUACAUUCAUAGUCAUUUCUCAGUAAUUAAAAGAGUUUCAGUUCAGUAUUUAGUAUGCCAUCCCAUUAUUUAAGAAACAUUCACAUUAAAUUAGAUUCAAACGUUUUUUCUUCUUUCCACCAUUUCAGACAAAACACUUGUGACUUUAGUGUUUUGAAAAAAGAGCAGGAAAGGGAAAUUCUGACAGAAUCACUAUUUACACACUCCCCUCCUUUCUUUUCUAGGGCUAAUUAGAAAGCAGAAUAGAGAAGGGGAAAAAGGAGUGUUCCCUGACUUCACUGUGAGAGGUGACUAUCUAGCAAGGUUGAUUAUUGUUGCUUCUCUAGAUAACUGAAACUGGCUACUCGUGCUUUUUAUGUAGCAGUUACUUAAAUGCUGUCUUUCUUAGAAGGACACCUAUUGAUGUUAAGACUCCCAAAGUGGUGUUCAGUAGCACAAUUUCUUAAUAUCAGAGAUAAAGCUCUAGUUAGACCCAUACCAAUGCCACUUAUUUCCGACCAGCAUCAAUCUACCCAAGAGCCUGUUACUGAUGAAGUUCCUUCUGUCUGUUCACAACAGACACUGCCAAAUGAUAAAGGACAAGGAGCUCCGCUCAGCUCCCUCUUUCUUAUCUCUACCAUUUCUUUCUAAUCCUCUCUUCUACCUGUGUAGUAUAGGGGCACAGUUACAUGCACUGCCUAAGCACUUAGGGAACAUAAUUCUUUCUCUUUCUUUGGGCACCCAUUCUUAAGAAGUGAUCCCUUGGUUUUGGAAAGGGGAACACUUUUCUCUAAUAACUUUUACAGCAUUCCCCAAAGACUUGUCUCAUUUUAGUUCUUUAUUAUACAGUCUUCUCUGAUUGGGUCACACUUUUAGAAAACAAGAAAAAUCCUAUGUAACUCCAUUUGACAUUAAUAAGAAGUGCAGCCAGCACUAUAAGUUUCUUCUACUCCUUCAUCCUUCGAGGGAAGCAUGGAGGGGAAGACCCACCAGACAUGGGUCAGAAGGAUUUGAGUUAUGAUAAAAGUGACAGAUAUUUUCAAGUCAAGCAAGCCCAAAGGUUUGGCUGAGAUCUAGAGAAGUCUGGCCAGAUGGUAGUCAAAGCAAGAAAGAUAAACGGAGAUAACUUUUGUCAAAGUUUGGAUCAGUAUAUGCUGAUUUCUAUGAGAUGUCAAAAGGAAGUUCUUUGGAGAAUUAUCUUUGGAGUAAAUCUGGGUGUUCAUAUAUAAAAUGCACUUCUUGGGCCACAACAAAUUAAGUCUGAUAUAAUUGGAGUACAAGUAACCAGGAACAAAUAAACUUAAGAUCAUGAAUAAAGUGUAAGGUAAACUUUCUGACUUGUCCCCAACUGGAAUCUCCAUACCUAGGCCUUUCUAAAUCUCUUACAGUUGUAUAUGGAGUGCUGUGGGGAUACCUGUAUGAGAUUUCAACAGCAGGAUUGGAUUUGUACGACUUGCAGUUAUUUGUAGGUGCCAUGUUUUGCUACAGCCACUUCUUCUGCAAACCUCAUGCACCAUAUGCAGUAGCAUGAAUAUAGCAUUGGUCUGCCCUGAUUUCUAGGAACAUUUCCUGCCAUUAUGGAUAUGAAUAUUGUGUAUUUCCUUUGUAACCAUUACUAUAAACAUACUUUUCUAUGUUUGAUCAUAAAAGCAGUAGUGCUUUGUGCUCUUUGUUUUAUUCAGAGACUUUAGCUAUAUGGUACUUUAAAUAAGCCAACCUCCUUCCAGAUUUCU